rnacentral:lncRNA from 1 species
ACAAAACGGUACAUAAAAUGUCACACUUUUUACGAAAAUACCGUUUUGCCAUCACCGACCUCUCCUCGAUCAACGCGCAAGCUCCGCAGAUCCGUCCGUCAGAUUUGCGAACGGACCGCACCAGUGCAAUCAGCACAACAGAGACAACAAAGCUACAAUUUCGUUUCGCCUCGAUCCAUCGCGGAUUCGCGACGAAAUCCGAUCCAUCUCUCCAACAGAAGAACUACGCACAAAUACAUAUAAAACACGUAUUUUCAGAUUUUCUCGAAAUCCGUGCGUCAAACUCAAAAUCCGUCAGCGUCAUCAGUUCCAGAACAGCUGAACCGGUCGAAAUGAGCUAUUGGACUGCUAUGAACGGAGUCCGAUACGC